rnacentral:rRNA from 1 species
CAACCUACCUAUCAGAGGGGAAUAACCCGGCGAAAGUCGGACUAAUACCGCAUAAAACAGGGGCACCGCAUGGUGAUAUUUGUUAAAGAAAUUCGCUGAUAGAUGGGCAUGCGUUCCAUUAGGUAGUUGGUGAGGUAACGGCUCACCAAGCCGACGAUGGAUAGGGGAACUGAGAGGUUGGUCCCCCACACUGGUACUGAGACACGGACCAGACUCCUACGGGAGGCAGCAGUGAGGAAUAUUGGUCAAUGGGCGAGAGCCUGAACCAGCCAAGUCGCGUGAAGGAAGAAGGAUCUAUGGUUCGUAAACUUCUUUUGCAGGGGAAUAAAGUGCAGGACGUGUCCUGUUUUGUAUGUACCCUGAGAAUAAGGAUCGGCUAACUCCGUGCCAGCAGCCGCGGUAAUACGGAGGAUCCGAGCGUUAUCCGGAUUUAUUGGGUUUAAAGGGUGCGUAGGUGGUUUGAUAAGUCAGCGGUGAAAGUUUGCAGCUUAACUGUAAAAAUGCCGUUGAAACUGUCGGACUUGAGUGUAAAUGAGGUAGGCGGAAUGCGUGGUGUAGCGGUGAAAUGCAUAGGUAUCACGAAGAACUCCGANUG